AUGAAGUCACAAACAAAUGUCCUCAUGUCCCUGCUGUUCUGGGUGUCUGGUGCCUGUGCAGAUAUCGUAAUGACCCAGUCUCCAUCCUCCAUGGCUGUGUCAACAGGAGAGAAGGUCACCAUCAGCUGCAAGUCCAGUCAGAGUCUUUUAUACAGUAAAGAUCAGAAGAACUACUUGAGCUGGUACCAGCAGAAGCCAGGGCAGGCUCCUAAAGUGCUAAUCUACUUGGCAUCCACUCGGCACACCGGAGUCCCUGAUCGCUUCAUAGGCAGUGGAUCUGGAACAGAUUUCACUCUCACAAUCAGCAGUGUCCAGGCUGAAGAUCAGGCAGAUUAUUACUGCCAGCAGUUGUAUAAAUCUCCUCCCACAGUGCUUCAGUUUCCAACAAAAACUUCUGAGAGUCGUGCAGGCUGCCCUGCACCUGCACUUUUCUCUUCUGCCUGGGAGACAGUGAACCUAAAACCCUGA